rnacentral:rRNA from 1 species
UACGUAGGGGGCGAGCGUUGUCCGGAAUUAUUGGGCGUAAAGAGCUCGUAGGCGGCCACUCAAGUCGAAUGUGAAACCUCGAGGCUCAACCUCGAGCCUGCAUUCGAUACUGGGCGGCUAGAGUCUGGUAGGGGGAUCUGGAAUUCCUGGUGUAGCGGUGGAAUGCGCAGAUAUCAGGAGGAACACCGGUGGCGAAGGCGGGAUCCUGGGCCAGUACUGACGCUGAGGAGCGAAAGCGUGGGGAGCAAACAGG